UACGGAGGGGGCGAGCGUUAUUCGGAAUUAUUGGGCGUAAAGAGCUCGUAGGCGGUCUGUUGCGUCGGUUGUGAAAACCUGGGGCUCAACUCCAGGCCUGCAAUCGAUACGGGCAGACUAGAGUUCGGUAGGGGAGACUGGAAUUCCUGGUGUAGCGGUGAAAUGCGCAGAUAUCAGGAGGAACACCGGUGGCGAAGGCGGGUCUCUGGGCCGACACUGACGCUGAUGCGCGAAAGCCAGGGGAGCGAACGGG
rnacentral:rRNA from 1 species